rnacentral:rRNA from 1 species
AGAGUUUGAUCGUGGCUCAGGAUGAACGCUAGCGGCGCGCUUAAUGCAUGCAAGUCGAGCGAUGAGGCCUUCUUCGGAGGGCACAUCAGCGGCAGACGGGUGAGUAACACGUGGGUGACCUGCCCUUGAGACGGGGAUAACGGAUGGAAACAUGCGCUAAUACCCGAUAGGGUCCCAGGGUCAAAGCUGGGAUGAAAGCUUUGGUGCUCAAGGAGGGGCUCGCGGCCCAUCAGCUAGUUGGUGAGGUAACGGCUCACCAAGGCGAAGACGGGUAGGGGGUGUGAGAGCACGGCCCCCCACAAUGGGACUGAGACACGGCCCAUACUCCUACGGGAGGCAGCAGCAGGGAAUAUUGCACAAUGGACGGAAGUCUGAUGCAGCGACGCCGCGUGGAUGAUGAAGGCCUUCGGGUUGUAAAAUCCUUUACGGGGUGACGAGGAAGGACGGUAGCCCCGGAACAAGCGUCGGCUAACUACGUGCCAGCAGCCGCGGUAAGACGUAGGACGCAAGCGUUAUCCGGAUUUACUGGGCGUAAAGCGUCUGUAGGCGGAUGAGUAAGUUGGGCGUGAAAGCUCCGGGCUCAACCCGGAGAGGCCGUUCAAUACUGCUGAUCUAGAGGAGGCCAGAGGGGAGUGGAAUUCCUGGAGUAGCGGUAAAAUGCGCAGAUAUCAGGAAGAACACCAGUGGCGAAGGCGGCUCCCUAGGGCCCACCUGACGCUGAGAGACGACAGCUAGGGGAGCGAACAGGAUUAGAGACCCUGGUAGUCCUAGCCGUAAACGAUGGAUGCUAGGUGUAGGGCCGUAGAGGCUCUGUGCCGGAGCGAACGCGAUAAGCAUCCCGCCUGGGGAGUACGGCCGCAAGGCUAAAACUCAAACGAAUUGACGGGGACCCGCACAAGCAGCGGAGCGUGUGGUUUAAUUCGAUGCUACACGAAGAACCUUACCUGGGUUUGACAUGGGCGUGGUAGUGAAGCGAAAGCGGAGCGACCCUUCGGGGAGCGUCCACAGGUGCUGCAUGGCUGUCGUCAGCUCGUGCCGUGAGGUGUCGGGUUAAGUCCCGUAACGAGCGCAACCCUUGCCCUUAGUUACAAGUGUCUAAGGGGACUGCCGGCGGGAAGCCGGAGGAAGGUGGGGAUGACGUCAAGUCAGCAUGGCCCUUAUAUCCAGGGCUACACACACGCUACAAUGGCCGGUACAGAGGGCAGCGAAGCCGCGAGGUGGAGCGAAUCCCAGAAAGCCGGUCGUAGUUCGGGUUGCAGCCUGCAUGAAGCUGGAGUUGCUAGUAACCGCGCGUCAGCCAUAGUGCGGUGAAUACGUUCCCGGGUCUUGUACACACCGCCCGUCACGUCAUGGGAGUCGGUAACGCCUGAAGCCGGUAGCCUGACCCGCAAGGGAGGGCGCUGUCGAGGGCGGGGCUGGCGACUGGGACGAAGUCGUAACAAGG